GAUACACAUUCGGUGAGAAGAUGUUAAUGAAGGUUCCAAAUUUGUUCAGGUCUGAGAUUUGAGGUGCACCGAGAAAACCGAAAAUUGUGGUCCUGGCCUGAGUCCCGGGACCACAAUCAAAUGAGCUCCAAAUCCGAAAAUCCUUGUAGGUCGAACUGAAUGCGUGUGUUUGCAAGAGCAUAGACUGCACUGCAUUUGGUUGUCCCGGUGGUGAUGUGCACUGGUUGGAAGGGGCAUGAAUGUUUUAGAAGAGAUUCAUCGAAGUCAUGACUCAAUUUGUUUUCCUGCAGCAGUCGAUGUGGAAUGCGAGGUUUGGGUAGA
rnacentral:lncRNA from 1 species